GCGCCCGCCGGGGCGCCUUCGCCGGGCGGGCAGCGCCUCUCCGGCCGCCGCUCCGCCUCCUCCGGCGGCGAGUGCCUCCCCCUCAGCCGGGCGGAGGAGGAGGAGGAGGAGGGGCCCUUCGCCCGAAUUUCGGCCCAUCGGAAGAGGCGGCGGGGGGGGCGGGCAGGUGGGGCGAGCCGCGCUCGCCGGUCCCGGGCGCUGCCGGCCGGAGCAGCGGGUCGGGGGCCUCGCCGUAGGCACAGCCGCCUGCGUCGGCCGCUGAAACACGCGGAGGUGUUUUUAGGCAUUACCCACUGCARUGGCACCACCAUAAAGUGGAUGGAUGGAUCAUGGCGGGUGUAACGGAUGCCCACCUGGCUAAAUGUCUACAUGCUGAAGAUCAAAGAGGAAGUUGGACCCAGACAUACACAGAGAGGGCUGGUCCUCCCUCCCUGAUGCCAGGUCUUGCYAGAGGAGUGGCAGGAAAAGGCACACCUGAGGCAGUGGAGGAGAGCACAACUGCCUGAUCCCAGCAUGCAUAGGAAUGUAAA
rnacentral:lncRNA from 1 species